GACGAAGGGGGCUAGCGUUGUUCGGAAUUACUGGGCGUAAAGCGCGUGUAGGCGGUUGUCCAAGUUGGAUGUGAAAGCCUUGAGCUUAACUCAAGAAAUGCAUUCAGGACUGGAUGACUAGAGGACCGAAGAGGAUAGUGGAAUUCCCAGUGUAGUGGUGAAAUACGUAGAGAUUGGGAAGAACACCAGUGGCGAAGGCGGCUAUCUGGACGGUUUCUGACGCUAAGACGCGAAAGCGUGGGGAGCAAACAGG
rnacentral:rRNA from 1 species